rnacentral:rRNA from 1 species
UACGAAGGGUGCAAGCGUUACUCGGAAUUACUGGGCGUAAAGCGUGCGUAGGUGGUUUUUUAAGUCCGUUGUGAAAGCCCUGGGCUCAACCUGGGAAUGGCAGUGGAUACUGGAAAGCUAGAGUGCGGUAGAGGGUAGUGGAAUUCCCGGUGUAGCAGUGAAAUGCGUAGAGAUCGGGAGGAACACCAGUGGCGAAGGCGACUUCUUGGCCUGUUCUUGACGCUGAGGCGCGAAAGCUGGGGGAGCAAACGGG